CUGGCUGAAACAAUAUCAAGCCCUCAGUACCACCAAACCCGAAAACAGGACC
rnacentral:rRNA from 1 species